UUCACUUCUCAGCCUUUUGGCUAAGAUCAAGUGUAGCAACUAUUCUGUGAUUCUAUAACUAGCAUAGUUAGUGUUAACAGUGCUACAGACACUUUUAGAAAUACCAAAU